UCUCUUGUAGAUCAGUGGAAGAGCGUCUGACCGGUGUGCGGAAUUGAAGGUUUAUAGGUUCGACUCCUGUUGGGAGAA